AGCAGCCGCGGUAAUUCCAGCUCCAAUAGCGUAUAUUAAAGUUGUUGCAGUCAAAAAGCUCGUAGUUGAAUUUUGGGUUUGGCCAAUUGGUCCGUUCUUGUAACGAGUACUGGUUGGUUGGGCCUCACCGCCUGGUGAUACGUAAUGUCCUUUAUUGGGUGUUGCGAGUAGCCAGGACCUUUACCUUGAAAAAUUAGAGUGUUUAAAGCAGGCUUAUGCCGGAAUACAUUAGCAUGGAAUAAUAGAAUAGGACGAUGAUUCUAUUUUGUUGGUUUCUAGGAGCAUCGUAAUGAUUAAUAGGGAUAGUUGGGGGCAUUAGUAUUCAAUUGUCAGAGGUGAAAUUCUUGGAUUUAUUGAAGACUAACUAUUGCGAAAGCAUUUGCCAAGGAUGUUUUCAUUAAUCAAGAACGAAAGUUAGGGGAUCGAAGACGAUCAGAUACCGUCGUAGUCUUAACCAUAAACUAUGC
rnacentral:rRNA from 1 species